rnacentral:rRNA from 1 species
UACGAAGGGGGCUAGCGUUGCUCGGAAUCACUGGGCGUAAAGGGUGCGUAGGCGGGUCUUUAAGUCAGGGGUGAAAUCCUGGAGCUCAACUCCAGAACUGCCUUUGAUACUGAAGAUCUUGAGUUCGGGAGAGGUGAGUGGAACUGCGAGUGUAGAGGUGAAAAUUCGUAGAUAUUCGCAAGAACACCAGUGGCGAAGGCGCUCACUGGCCCGAUACUGACGCUGAGGCACGAAAGCGUGGGGAGCAAACAGG